CAGAGCUUCCUGUGCCCUGUUUCUGGAAGUUGUGCUUUCUCCCUGGGCCUCCCGCAUCUCCAGCCGCGAGUGCCCUCCUGUUCUCCUUCCUCUGUGGAGCCUUCCCCGCUGACUCGGGUUUUGGCUCCUCACACCCUCAGGUUGUUCCGUGAGCGUGUGUGACCCGGGGCCGCUCUCUGCGGGAGGCGAGGUUCUCCACACCGGGAGCCUCAGGGAGCAGCUAGGCUUCCUUCUCCCUUCCACGUCACAGCCUGCUGCUUUCUUUGACCCUAUCCUGGGUCUGGAGGUAUCAGUCUUCGACUGCCUGCUCCCUCUGCUCCACUGGCUUGUAGCACUGGUCCCAUUUACAAAGGGAAGACUGAGGCCAGGGCCGUCUCUGCCCGGUGCAUCCCCAUGAGCCCAGCGCCAAGCGCAGCCCCUGCACAUUGCAGGGCCUCCAGAUCUGUUGGAUGAACGAAUGAAUGAUUUCUGGGAACUCUUCAGCCUCUCUGAGAAGCCGAAACUGGCCCUGAACUGGUUUGUCUUCUCUUUGGACCUGGUGACCCGUGACAUUUGCCGCUCCCCUCCGACCGGAAGAUGCGCACGGGUCGGCAUCCGUCCUUGAAGCCGUCGUCAGGGUGUCUCGAGUAGGAAUGCAAGGCCAAGCGGGAUUCAACCCUCCGUGACGGAUGGGUCAGUAUCUCAGAUGGUGACCAAGCCUCCGCUCCGAGAGGACCGCUGAGUAAGGAGCAGCGCCCUACGGGGCAGAAAUGCAGAAGAGAAGACGAACGCCCAGCCAGCAGCCUGGGGAACCCGCCGGCAUCAGAGGCGUCCAGGCUGAGGGUGGUCUCAGCGGGCGCUCUCCUGGCCCCCAGGUUCAGGCACUAAGUCGCUCCACCUCAACUCUCUGUUCCUGGUUCUCCUGCCCUUUGCACGUCCAUCCCUCUGUCUGGAAGCCAAACACAUCGAGGGCGCCCCCAGGCUGCCCGUCAGGAAGGUGCAGAAGCCCUGCCUGGGGCGGUGGGUCCGUAACCACCCCGCUCCCACCCACAGACAGUAUAAAAGCGAAAUGAAACAGAAGAGCAUUCUACUCUGACCCUUUCUUUUUCAACUCAACUGCUGGGCACAUGGGGUUUUGCACUUUAGGGCCGAAUGAGGGUGACUUCAGCCAAAUCCGGGCUGUUUCUGAAGAAAUGUGAAUAAAUGCAAAAGGCCCUGACUCGAGAGAGCGGCGCUGUCUAGCUGCCCCAGGCAAACGUAAAGAGCCGGACAGGUUUACGCAGCCGGAGCGGUGCCUCGAGGCGGGGGCCCCAGGGUGCGCCCCUAAAGGCUCGCCAGGCCCGAGCCAGCCAGGCCCACGAUGAAGACGCUCCAUCCUGCAAGUCCUGAUUAGGGCUUCUGCGAAACUGUCUUCCAGGACUGUAAUCCCACACCCGCCCUGGGCGGCCCCCGAGACACGGCUGUCCGUCACCGGGAUGGGUACGUGCGCGGCCGGCACGUGGCGGCUCUGAAGCCCAUUCUUUACGUCGCGCCUCGUCUUUCCAUUUCUAAAGGGCGCUCUCCUGGGCAGAGGGCGCAGCCCAUCACAUGUCAGGGCGGAGGAGAGGGAGCCGCUCCUCGGGGGACCCCAGCCCGCUCUCCUCAGGGUAACUGGUGCCCCUUGGGAAGCCUGUGUUCUGCCUCUGCGGAGCGGGUCUCCGUGAGAAGCCGGGCUGCGCGUCACCGCACUGAGCCCCAGAGAGACAGGACGAGUUUAAGAGGGUGUGCAUGUCUGAACUUCACGCUGAAUCAAAAUCCUUUUCCUCCAAAGUCUGAUGUCGUUGGUGGGUGAAGGGACAAGGCCAGCGAGGGGUGAGGGGGCCUGAUCCUGCACGUGGAGAGGGUGGAGGGAGGAGGGCUCGUUGAAGUUACAGCGCGCUGCGGCAGAGGAUGGGGGGCCAGUGUAGCUUUUUGCCUCCUGGGGUCUCCAGCUACCCCUCUCUCACCACCCUGCCCCGCCCCAGCCCAGCCUGAACUGCCCUGGCCCCUCUUCUCGGCCCCAGGGCUCCCCAGGUCACAGACAGACGGCCAGGCAGACCAGAGCCUGGCCCUGGGUCGGGGCAGGGAAGCCAGGACGCGCUCCAAUCUGCCGCCGCUCAGACUAGCGCUUGGAGAGGCUCGAGUUCAGGAGCUGAGCAAAAAUAAACACGGGCUAUAAAUAAGCCCGUAGAUGUCUUCAAGGCCCGAGCGCGACGAGGAGAGGGUGCCACCGCAGAAGUGCUCACUUGAAAAAUUCUAAACGCGUCAAAAUAACUUUGAUAAACUCGCAAAGACGCCUGGCUCAGGGGAAAGGAAUGGGCCCCGCGCCCCGAGAGCCCACUUCCCGCGCCGCCGCCGGGAGAGCCACCGCGGGGCGGGCGGGGCGCGGGGUCCCCUCUGGCGCCGCUGACUCACCGCGGCCCGCGCCUUAAAAGGGCAGUCGCUUCCGGGGCCGACCCGGCGUUGGGGGGGGGGGGGCUCGUUGUCACCUCCUGUGCCCUCGCUCGGAGUGGCACCCCUUCCACUUCAAGGCUGACCGCUAUGCCUGAUCCUACGUCUUUCAACCCGCCUCUCCCUGGAGGAGGCCGUGGACUCCCACGGCGCCCGCGGUCACCCAUCCUCGAUGAGCCUGGACUCUUCAGCCUGGGCCCCCUCUAAACUUCUACGUGAAUGUCCACGGCUUUCCGGGAGCCGCUCCCUCAGUCCAAGUCCCUUGCAGCUCCUCCACUCAUCGCUGUAAACCGGCCGUGUCAAAGAGCUGGAGUCAUCGCCCCUGCACCCUCCCUAGCUGGUGACCAAGCAGACACCCUCCCUCUCCUUUGAACUCUGUCCCCUCCAGACUCUUGCUUCGUCGUUGGUCACGUGCCCAGGCCUCCUCUGCUCUGACUCUCUCAUCCACCUCUUCCGUCCUGUGAACUCCUGGGUCAAGCCUCCGCCGCACUUGCUUCUCAGCCCCUGUUGGCCUGGCUUCCUGCGUGGGGCCCCUCGCCCACCCAGAGCUGCCGUGGACGUGAUCAGGUAGUGGCACUCGUCGCUGUGGCUGAAGCCAGGUCCCUGCCAAGCCUGUCAGCAGGGGAGGGAGAAGGGAGAGUGAAGGGGGGUCGUGCCAGUGUGUCAAGACCCCACCAGGACAUUGCACACCUGAUGGGAGCUCACACCGGCGAGAACUUGGUCACACUUAGCCCCACUAGCUGCAAGAGAGGCUGGGAAAUGUCGUUUCUAGCAGGGUGGUCCUGUGUCCACCUCUCACAGCUGCCUGCUCCGGCCGAAGUCAUUGCCAUCUGCUCAGACAGAAUGGAAACGAGGAUGUAUUGGGCACUUGCCAUGUGCCAGACAUUGUGAUGGCCAUUUUCCGACGUCAUCCCCUUUCACCUUCACCAGUGUUUUACCUACACUGAGACAGCUGGGCCCAGCUUGGCUGGGCUGCUGCCUCCCGAGUCAUGCUCUGUGGAAGUCCUCCGUCUCAGGGCGCCUCUCUAGGUUAGUUUUUUGCAUGUCUGCCUCCCCCACUGAGUAUGUGCUUAAUAAAUGCUCUACUAAGUGGUGAAUCAGAGUGGGUUCAUUAAAUUAGCUCAUGAAAAUUA